rnacentral:pre_miRNA from 1 species
GAGUUCCUCUGAAUGCUUCAAACAUGAGACAAUCUAUAUGGAUAGUUCUUGUUCAAUGAAGUGUUUGGGGGAACUC